rnacentral:rRNA from 1 species
CCCGCAGCACAAGUGGUGGUCAUUAUUAUUGGGCCUAAAGCGUCCGUAGCUGGUUUGUUAAAUGCCUGGGUAAAUCGAUGCGCUUAACGUAUCGAACUCCGGGUAGACUGGCAAACUCGAGACCGGGAGAGGUGUAGGCUACUCGCGGGGUAGGGGUAAAAUCCUGUAAUCCUGCGGGGAGGACCAGUGGCGAAGGCGCUACACUAGAACGGCUCUGACAGUGAGGGACGAAGCCCUGGGGCGCAAACCGGAUUAGAUACCCGGGUAGUCCAGGGUGUAAACGCUGCAGACUUGGUGUCGGUGAUCCUACGAGGGUUGCCGGUGCCGGAGAGAAGUUGUUGAGUCUGCCGCCUGGGGAGUACGGUCGCAAGACUG